rnacentral:lncRNA from 1 species
ACAGAGUCUAUUCAAAAUUAUUGAUCAGAUCAGUACAACACAUUAAAAGGUUUCAAACUAGGCUCCUCCUGC